ACGAUGUCGUUCUCUCACACUGACUUCUUCAAGAGGGAAGGAGAUGCAUUUGAACUGAAGCGGGGUCAGGGCCUUGUAAUCUCGUAACACUAUGCCUAUCGCGCUACUGAAAGAAUGGAAGGUUCCAGGAAAGCCUUUGUAUCUUGAUACAACUUGAUUCUAGUUACGAACGUGACUAAUGUAUCGUCCAGGUAUGUCACGUUGACCAACUACUGCUACUUAAGCUUGGUUGCAAUGGCGGGCUAGCGAUAAGCUGAAAGCAUGGACGUGGUUUGGUGGAGAAACCUUUUUAAAAGGUGAGUUGCGAUAUCUGCACUUAAGUGGAGGGACUCGUCCAACGCAUGUGGAGGGAGCAAGGAGACACUCCCAGGGUGACGACUUGUUGACCUCCUGACUGUCCUUUGGAACGGUGCUCCAAGGAAAUGACCAUCACCCCCAACUUCAACUUUUACCGGAGGUCAACAUUUCUGCACUGAAGUGGAAGAAUUCAACGCAUGUGGAGGAAGCAAGGACACCGAGGGUGACAAGUUGACCUCCUGACUGUCUUUUGGAACGAUGUAACUAUUGGCCCAUCAGUUUUGUUUGCAGACGGUUAAUUGGACUUCAUUUUAUUAGGUGGUGCUCCAAGGCAAUGCUCCUCACCCCACACCCCCAACUUCAACUUUUAUCUGAGGGUGACCCUGCGCAAGGAACCAUAGUUUACUGGAGAUCCAGGGGGAUGUCUAGUGGCUGUAUGAAGACCUGGGGGCCAGAGAAUUACUGCCAGCUGUUUCAGCUUUUGGAACAAAUGAACAUGUGACUUUCUACUUAAAUAAAGUUCAAAAUCCAUACCGAAUUGUGCCUUGCAUGACAUAGAUUUGACAUUUCA